AUUGAACGCUGGCGGCAGGCUUAACACAUGCAAGUCGAGCGCGAGGCGGACGGGUGAGUAAUGUCUGGGAAACUGCCUGAUGGAGGGGGAUAACUACUGGAAAAGGUAGCUAAUCACGCAUACCAUAAGCUGUGCACAGAUGGGAUUAGCUAGUAGGUGGGGUAAUGGCUCAACUAGGCGACGUGCCCUAGCUGGUCUGAGAGGAGGUCCUGCCACACUGGACCUGAGACACGGGCCAGACUCCUACGGUAGGAAGCAGUGGGGAAGAUGGCACAAUGGGCGCAAGCCUGAUGCAGCCAUGCAGCGUGUGUGAAGAAGGCCUUCGGGGUGUAAAGCACUUUCAGCGAGGAGGCUUUACUCGCAGAAGAAGCACCGGCUAACUCCGUGCCAGCAGACGCGGUAAUAC
rnacentral:rRNA from 1 species